CUCGGUGCCGGCCCCAUUUGGGGUGAAAAAGGGAACAAGGCGCGCUACGGCGUAACCUUGGCUGUACCCGCAACUGUAGGCGGUGAGCACCGGGCCCACGAAGCCACUGGUCAACGACCGGGAAGGCAGGCCCGAUGUGAAGAACCGCAAGCCAGGAAACCUGCCGGCAC
rnacentral:ncRNA from 1 species